UCCCUGAGGGCAAUAUACUUCUGCUGAC
rnacentral:piRNA from 1 species